CGGCUACAUGUAAAGUGUCAUCAUAAAAGAGGUUUCCUGUUGUCAAACCUUCACACGAUACAAUGCAGAAAGGUUUGACAUUACAAUGAAGAUCAGACAUUGGUCAAUGUUUUUGUUUUACACCAACUUCACGGAGACGCCUCAGCAGAGAAAUUAUGGGAAUCCUCAUGCCAACACAUCAGACCAACAGGAUGGGAAUGAUGCCAUAAACUAUGCUGCCCUGAAGUUCACUGACAAGAAUAGUACCAGGCCAGGAGACAGAGGAGAGAAUGGAGAGAACAGAGAGAGGAAGAAACCAUCUACUCAGGUGUGAGUCAUCAAGACAGGGUGUAACAGAGUUGGGUCAUCCAAUCAGCAUCAUUCUAAGUUAAGCCCCACCCCUCCUCUGAACUCCAAUUUGAUCUUGACAUUGUCCUUGUGACCUGGCUAUUUUGUACACUUCUGAUUUACUGUAGGAUGUCAUUGCAGGGGCCUAAUUUUGCUGAAUAUAUACAGUACCAGUCAAACGUUUGGACACAACUACUCAUUCAAUGGUUUUUCUUUAUUUUUACUAUUUUCUAAAUUGUAGAAUAAUAAUGAAGACAUCAAAACCAGUUCUAACCAAAAGAAUGUUAAACAAAUAAAAAUAUAUUUUAUAUUUGAGAUUCUUCAAAGUAGACACCCAGUAUCUCUACCGCUGCUGUCUCUAGAGAGUUGAAAACAGCAGGUCUGGGACAGGUAGCACGUUCAGUGAACAGGUCAGGGUCCCAUAGCCACAGGCAGAGCAGUUGAAACUGGAGCAGCAGCACAACCAGGUGGACUGGGGACAGCAAGGAGUCAUCAGGCCAGUUAGUCCUGCUACAGAGAGAAAAGAAAGAAAGAAAGAAAGAAAGAAAGAGAGGAAGAAAGAGAGGAAGAAAGAGAGAAAGAGAGAGAAAAAGAGAGAGAGAAUUAGAGAGAGCAUGCUUAAAUUCACACAGGACACAAGAUAAGACAGGGAGAAAUACUCCAAAUAUUACAGACUGACCCUAGCCACCUGACACAUAAACUAUUGCAGCAUAAAUACUGGAGGCUGAGACAGGAGGGGUUGGGAGACACUGUGGCCCCGUCCGACGAUACCCCCGGACAGGGUCAAACAGGACAUAUGUACCAGUAGUCUCAGCCACCGACCCAAAUGAUAAAAAAAUACAAACCAUUAACUCUGACUUUAUAGUAUUUUAAGACAUACAGUGCAUUCGGGAAGUAUUCAGACCCCUUGACUUUUUCCACAUUUUGUUACAUUACAUUCUUAUUAAAAAUGUAUUUUAAUAAACAUUUUCCUCAUCAAUCUAAACACAAUACCCCAUAAUGACAAAGUGAAAACCGGUUUUGGGAUUUUUUGGAAAUUUCUUACAAAUAAAAAACUGUGAUACAUUAUUUACAUAGGUAUUCAGACCCUUUGCCAUGAGACUUGAAAUUGAGCUCAGGUCCAUCCUUUCAUUGAGAUGUUUCUACCACAGUCCACCUGUGGUAAAUGCAAUUGAUUGGGCAUGAUUUGGAAAGGCACACACCUGUCUAUAAAAAGGUCCCACAGUUGACAGUGCAGAGCAAAAAUCGAAGGAAUUGUCGAAGGUCGAAGGAAUUGUCCGUAGAGCUACGAGAUUGUGUCGAGGAACAGAUCUGGGGAAGGGUACCAAAAUAUUUCUGCAGCAUUGAAGGUCCCCAAGAACACAGUGGCCUCCAUCAGUAUUAAAUGGAAAAUGUUUGGAACCCCCAAGACUCUUCCUAGAGCUGGGCAAUCGGGGGAGAAGGGCCUUGGUCAG
rnacentral:lncRNA from 1 species